AACGAACGCUGGCGGCAGGCCUAACACAUGCAAGUCGAACGUGAAGCUGGAGCUUGCUCCAGUGGAAAGUGGCAGACGGGUGAGUAACACGUGGGAAUCUACCCAGUGGUACGGAAUAACUCAAGGAAACCUGAGCUAAUACCGUAUACGCCCUCCGGGGGAAAGAUUUAUCGCCAUUGGAUGAGCCCGCGUCGGAUUAGCUUGUUGGUGAGGUAACGGCUCACCAAGGCGACGAUCCGUAGCUGGUCUGAGAGGAUGAUCAGCCACACUGGGACUGAGACACGGCCCAGACUCCUACGGGAGGCAGCAGUGGGGAAUAUUGGACAAUGGGCGCAAGCCUGAUCCAGCCAUGCCGCGUGAGUGACGAAGGCCUUAGGGUUGUAAAGCUCUUUCGGCGGGGAAGAUAAUGACGGUACCCGCAGAAGAAGCCCCGGCUAACUUCGUG
rnacentral:rRNA from 1 species